UUCGGGUGUUUCUUAACAUUUGCUAUCCCAGUUCAUACAUUUUGAAGUUUCACUGCAAUCUGCAAUACAAUCCUUUUUUUACUUGUUUUUGCAGUCAGCAUUUUUCUUCACCAACAAUGGAAACAUAAAAGGCCAACAUAGUGGUUACAUUGAACAACGUGUAUCAAACAUGAGAAAAAAUGUACCACAGGAGAAGCGAAAAUUUCGGCAAACGGUGCAAAACAACAGUAUGGAAUCUAUUCCUGAAGAAAUGAUAGCUUCAGCAGAAAUAUGGUAGCCACCGCCCAAAACUGCACUGCACUGAAGACAUCCUUUGCAAUACAUAAAAAUAUGUUGUGUCAAAAAAAACUGUCUUCCAAAUACUGAACUAGUUCCCUCACUUCAAGUCCUACCACGGUUUAAUGGUGCAGCAAGCGUUCGACAGGAUUAAAAAAAGCAUUGAAACAGAAUCAAUCCUAAAAUGAGUCUUAGCACAGGCGCUGUUAUUCCACCGAGAUGCCUUCACUGUGUUAAAGAUGUGUACAUUCUGAAUGCCUCAUUCUGAUGAAGGAAAUGGCCAUUAGAGGAGUUAAACGGCCACAUGAUACUAAUAUUAUGACAACUGAAGAAAUUUUCGCCUCACUACUCGUGAGAUGAAUAGAUGUUGACAUGACAAUUAACCGUUUCCAAGAACAACUUCCUCCACAUUUAGUAUGUGUUUCUGCUCCAGGACAAAUUGGACAAUUGUUCGUCAGUUUUGGCAAGGAUACCAAAAUAGAUGUCGGAAUGAAUGCGCUGCAGGCGAUAGACGUUUUAUUCGGGUUAGUAAUGAAAGGCUGAAACCCGAAAGGCUGAAAAGUAUGUUUCAUAACGAAAGGCUGAAUGCACAAAAGGCUGAAGCCCCAAAAGGCUGAAUGAACGAAAGGCUGAAACAUGAAAGGCUGAAAUUUGUGUAACUUGAAUCAUAAUCGUUGAAAAAUUCGGACACAUGGAUAAUAAACCUUUAUAAGGUGACAGAGUUCAAUGUUUGAGUAUUAAUUGGUUUGUGCAAUGGAAAAUUAAUUUUCGGCAACAUUUGAAUCUAUACACACUUGACUCUUGUACACGUUUCCUAGAUGAUUCAGGGCGAGACGGCCGAAGACCGCGGGUGUGCGCCGGCGACCCGCCGUCGAAAGCGCCGGCCACUGCGGGGGCCAGCCCCCCGCAGAAAUCAUCUAGUUUAGGACAGCAUACAUCUCGGACAAUCGAGUCGGCCGUAGGCCGCGAGUGUUUUUUUUAGAAAUGAACUUUGUGAAUUUCAGCCUUAUGAUUUUUCAGCUUUUCGUGAUUCAGCCUUUCGUGUUUUCAGCCUUAUGUAGCUUCCAGCCUUUCGGAUAUCAGCCUUUCGUGUUUCAGCCUUUUGAGUUUCAGCCUUUCGUAGUAGACCCUUUUAUUCAAAUCUUUCCCAGUAUGCAGCAUACCUGUCCCUGCGCUGCUUGCGCCGUUGAACGAUCUACUGGAACUUAAAGUGUUUAAAACCAUAUCUCAUUGUUCACGGCGAUCAGUGAAUGAUUUAGCGAAUGCUCUAGAUAGGGCAGAUAGUGCCGAAGGUCUGUAGUAGGUUUAUCUGUUACUUCAAGUUGGGUUUACCUGUUACUUCAAGUUGGGUAAAAAAUCCCCAAUUUUAUAAAACGCAGUAGAUACUUAUUUUGCACUAAAAAUACCUAUUUUUGAGUAUCAAUUUUAGAACUUAGUUUAGGGGACAACAAAUAUCUUAACAUAAGAAUAUAGUUCACUCUCGAAUUUCCCAUAUAUUUCCGUGAAGACAGACAGGGAACACCCCCUCUUGUGGUGAAAAAGGUAACUAAACUCAUUGCACAGUGGUACAGUAAGGCAAUUUAGGCGGACAUGAGCUUUUCGUUGCGAUUUUGGUUUGCGGUUUAAAGCCAUAGUUUUUGUAAAAAGUUGUUUCUUAUAAAUAGUCCUCUAUUUAUGUGCAAAUGAAAAUUAGGGUGGUCCUAAAAUCAACGAAAUAAAAACAAACUAACUUGUUUUUAUUUGCAUAAAUAAUUGUAAACAUUCUUUGGCAAUCUUGUAGAUCAACUAAUUCUAAGUAACUUUGCAAAAAACUUUUUUGUAGACAUUAAAUUUGGUUUCCAAAAACAGUCUUUUCGCUCUAUUUCUUCAAUUCAAAUUUAAAAACAAAGUUUUCUUCGGUAACUUUAAUCAAAAAUACGCCAAUUUUGACGAAUAAACAUUGUCGAUGUAUCGUACAGAUGAAGAGUUUUCACUAUUUCUAUUUUGAAAAUAGGCCCUUUUAAAAAAUUGAUGUCUCCGUUUAGGGCAAACAUACAUAAUAUUUUUUGGUAUCAUUUGAAAGAACAAGAAUUGUAUAAAUAUUGUGAAGAAAUACCGAAAGUUGCUUAAAAUUAGUUGAUCUACAACUGUGCCGAUUAAUGUAUACAUUUAUUUCUGCAAAUAAAUAAGUUUCCCCUAAUUUUCAUUUGCACAUAAAAAAUAAACUAAAUACAAGAAACAGGUUCUUAAGAAAAAAAUUUACUUCAAAACCACAAAAUCGCAUCGAAAAAUUCAUGUCAGCCUAAUUUGCCUUACUGUACCACUGUGCAUUGUUGUUGAAUUUCUGUCAGCGUGUGACAUUCUCACACACGAAACUGAAUUUACUCAAUUUUAGAUUUAGUUGACUCAAUUUCAUACUUUCACAGAAAAAAAUAUGUUGUAGAUUUCGUGCGUAUAUUGUUUGUAUGUGAAACUAACGCCAUUCCGGGAGUUAAAUAUUGAUAAUAUAAUAGAUGUAGCUUAUCGAGGCACGAAGAAGAAAUAUUCAAAUAAUCAGGCCACGACGUGUAAAUGGUAAACUAAUCCCAAGUUGCUAUAUACGUGGUUCCCUGUGUAACUUCACUAGCUCAGAUCCAUCACGGGAAGCAAUUACGAAAUUUGCGGCCGUCAAGCUCAAGCUCAAUAAUCAGGCCACGAAGUGUACAAUUAAAUGAAUAUUUCAAUUACCUCGUGAAAAAGGUAAAAGGUGAAACCGCACAAUGGUUGUCAAUAGUCGUAUAUGGUUGUUGUGCAACUUUCUGCUUAGAUAACACUUGAAUGUUCUAUCAAUUUACCAAUUUAAGUAUGGAUACAUAUAAUGUUGUAAUUGGUUUAAAAGCUUUAUUAUAUUAUAUAUAGAAGAUUUUCAACAAAACAAACAUAAUCAGUGAUAACAACUGUUAUGCAAAAACGUUUAUUUAAUGUUUAGUUUUCUUCGUUUUGAAAGUAUUUUUUGUUUUUUUUAUCCCUCCGAAUUUUUUGCUCUCGAGUUCUAAUCUUCGUAUUCAUCACUUGCAGCUUUGCUUUAACCAGUACAUUUGUGUAUUUACUAGCUGACCCGGCGAACUUCG